AGCAAGUUGGCAGAACAUCUUGGCUGUCAACAACAAGCUUUCGAAUACAGGACUAGUUUGGCUGUUCUUUCAGCGUCGUGUGUGUCCAAAAUUCGUCAAAGAUUUUGAUGAAGCCCUUUCAAAAUACUGUUUGUUUGAUUUAUUUUCUUCCAUAAAGCAUAAAAGAAAAGAAAUUCGGAGAAAUCGAUAAUGGAAUUUGUUACGUGCGUUUGACCUUUAUAUUAAUUCUCGCCUUGACCGAGCUAUUUUUAAAACUGUUGUUUACGUGAACUUGC